rnacentral:rRNA from 1 species
UACGUAGGCAGCGAGCGUUUGUUCGGAGUUACUGGGCGUAAAGCGUGCGUAGGCGGUGUCUUAAGUUUGUUGUGAAAUCUCCCGGCUUAACCGGGAGGGUGCGGCGAAUACUGAGAUGCUGGAGUGCCGGAGAGGUAAGCGGAAUUCCUGGUGUAGCGGUGAAAUGCGUAGAUAUCAGGAGGAACACCUGAGGUGUAGACGGCUUACUGGACGGUAACUGACGCUGAGGCACGAAAGCGUGGGUAGCAAACAGG